GUAGGUGGCAAGCGUUGUCCGGAAUUAUUGGGCGUAAAGCGCGCGCAGGCGGUUCUUUAAGUCUGAUGUGAAAGCCCACGGCUCAACCGUGGAGGGUCAUUGGAAACUGGAGAACUUGAGUACAGAAGAGGAAAGCGGAAUUCCACGUGUAGCGGUGAAAUGCGUAGAGAUGUGGAGGAACACCAGUGGCGAAGGCGGCUUUCUGGUCUGUAACUGACGCUGAGGCGCGAAAGCGUGGGGAGCAAACAGGGAUUAGAUACCCUGGUAGUCCACGCCGUAAACGAUGAGUGCUAAAUGUUAGGGGGUUUCCGCCCCCUUAGUGCUGCAGCUAACGCAUUAAGCACUCCGCCUGGGGAUACGGCCGCAAGGCUG
rnacentral:rRNA from 1 species